GAGAGGUGCUGCAUGGCUAUCGUCAGCUCGUGUUGUGAAAUGUUGGGUUAAGUCUCGCAACGAGCGCAACCCCUAUCGUCUGUUGCCAGCAUUAAGUUGGGCACUCUGACGAGACUGCCUGGGUUAACCAGGAGGAAGGUGGGGAUGACGUCAAGUCCUCGUGGCCCUUAUGUCUAGGGCUACACACGUAAUACGAUGGCGCGUACAAAGGGAAGCGAACUCGCAAGGGGGAGCAAAUCUCAAAAAGCGCGCCUCAGUUCGGAUUGAAGUCUGCAACUCGACUUCAUGAAGUUGGAAUCGCUAGUA
rnacentral:rRNA from 1 species